rnacentral:SRP_RNA from 1 species
GCCAGACUUGGUGAAGCAUGCCUGUAAUUCUUUUUCUGCGGCUGGGCUGAGGCUAGUGGAUUGCUUGAAAUCAGGAGUUGUGAGCUAGGGCUAAGCCUAUUGAGUGACCACACUAAGUGUAGAAUCAAUAUGGUGAACCCUAGGUGGGGUCCACCAGGCUGCCUAUGGAGGGGAGAAGUGGUCUGGGUCCAAAAUGGAGCAGGUCAAAGCUUUUGUGAUGAUUAGUAGUGGGAUCAAGCCCACGAGUGGCUGCCUCACUUCCAACCUGGGCAAGAUAAGGAGACCCAAGCUUUA